CAGUGUUUUGGAGAGCGCAAAGCGCAAAAAAGCAACAAGGGCUCGCCUCGCUUCAAAGCGCAAAGCGCAAAGAAGCGCACGCUUUUUUGAAGUGAAGCGCAAUUUUUAAAAAACAUAAUGUAAAAUUAUAAAUAAUCAAAAAAAUCAAUUUAAAUACUUAAAAGUAGGUACUAGGUACCACCAAAUCAUCUACAAACCAUUCAUAAACCAUAAGACAAGCGAAAUCAAAGCUACUAAAUUACUAGAAGUCAAUCAACAUCUUAUUCUUCUAUGUCUGCUUCUCCUUCAAGAUUGUCAAAAUCUUGAAUUCCUCGGUUAUCUUUAUAUUGCUCGUCAUCUUCUUCUUCCCCCUUCUCUUCAUAAUCAUUCUCAUCUUCAUCAAUGGAUCGACUUGUAGUAACCACACUUUUUCCCUUACUAAUAGAACUUGAAUUUGGAGUACAACUCCUUAAACUAUAAGGAUCCUCCCCAACUCCACUAGCAACCGCAACAUCACCCCAAGUUAAAUCGGGGUCGCCUUCAAAUACUUCUU
rnacentral:lncRNA from 1 species